rnacentral:rRNA from 1 species
GCUUGUUGGUGGGGUAAUGGCCUACCAAGGCGACGAUCUCUAGCUGGUCUGAGAGGAUGAUCAGCCACACCGGAACUGAGACACGGUCCGGACUCCUACGGGAGGCAGCAGUGGGGAAUAUUGGACAAUGGGCGCAAGCCUGAUCCAGCCAUGCCGCGUGUGUGAUGAAGGCCCUAGGGUUGUAAAGCUCUUUCAGCGAGGAGGAUAAUGACGUUACUCGUAGAAGAAGCCCCGGCUAACUUCGUGCCAGCAGCCGCGGUAAUACGAAGGGGGCUAGCGUUGUUCGGAAUUACUGGGCGUAAAGCGCGCGUAGG